GAUGGAGGGCCCCGGUGGGUGAGGUCUGUAGCUCCUGGAAACAGACCCAAGAGCGGCGGCAAGAAAGGAGUUGGUCUCCACAAUCCGCCCAAAGCCAAGAAGACUUGGGAUAAGUCAUUAUGGAGAAAGCUAAGGAUCCCUGCGUUGUCUUGAAAGCACAUCAGCCGGGAAAUCAGAAGGCCUGGGUUUGAAUUCCAGUUACUCACAAAUGGAAGUGAAAGCGGGCAGGCCAGUGACUCCAGCUCAACCACACCAUGGAGGAUGUCUCUGUGGUCUCAUGUCCACCUUCAUUUGCAAGAUGUCUGCCACAGUUCCAGAUAAUCCGUGGGAUCCCAGGGGAAAGAAGACGUCUCCUCCUGUAUUGUGACAACUAGCAGGCACACAAAAAUGAACACCACGUGGGCCUUGACCUGGAAAGCUAGCAGGCAAACUGGCAUCCCAUGUCAUUUCAAAAUUGUAUAGUAAGCAAGAAGAGGCAUGCAGUGUUCUGGAAGCACAGAGAAGGAUCCCUCAGCUCUACUGAGGGAUGAUUCCUGGGGAGAGACCAAGUGGACUGGCUAUAGAUGCUGAGAAUGAGUUUGGCUAUGAAGACAAUGCUGUAAAGGGAAAUUUGAAUACAGAGACAGACACACAGACAUACAGAGGGAAGAAGAUGUGGAGACACAGGAAGAACACCAUGGAGGGGCAGAGAUUUGGAGUGAUGAUGCAUCUAUAAGCCAAGGAAUGCCUGAGGCUACCAGAAGCUAGGAGAGAGGCCUGGAACAGAUCCUUCCCCAGAGCCUGCAGAGGGAGCACAGCCCUGCCCACACCUUGGUUUUGGACUUCUGGCCUCCAGAGCUGUGAGACAUAAUCUUUACACCUGACACAGGGCUCAAACUCAUGAUCUGAGAUCAAGAGUCACAUGCUCUUCUGACUGAGCCAGCCAGGUGCCCCUAAACUACUGUUACAUAGUGACAUGGUUUGCACCUUCAGCCAUCAAGGCGGUUGAAAAAGAAAAUAAUCUGUCCCUCUGGAUUCUAGUUAUGGCUCUGCACCCCAGCACCUGUAAACUCAAAGUCAGAACUCCAUGGAUGCCUGGAUUCCAAGAUUAAACCUCUACUCACAAGCAAAAGGGUUGGUUCGAUAGGAGGUGGGGACAAGAAAUUGUUUGUUUAGAGAGAGAGAGAGCUCUCUAGAGAAAGAAGCAGAGAGAGAGAGAGUGCGCGAGAGAGAAUCCCACACAGGCUCUACACUCAAUGUAGAGCCCCAUGCUGGGAUCACGACCUGAGAUGAAAUCAAGAGUCGGAUACUCAACUGACUGAGCCACCCAGGUGCCCCCAAAAUUAUUUCUAAUUAAAGAAGUGGAACUUAUAAGCAGUGGUAAUGAAACUUUAGCUGAAAAAUACUAGACUUUCUAAUGCAUUUGGAUAUUAGGAGCUGUGAUGACUUGAACUUCAUCUGUGGACUCUAAAAAAUGCAAAAGAGCUGGAGAGAAAUGGCUACCUGCUGUGGAAGACCAGGCCCACCCUGUAUCCUCAGCCCUCUGCUCUCUCGCCUUUGGGCCUAAAACUGUGUGUGAACAAGAAGAGCAGCUGUCACUAUAUGUAUGAAGGCACCCAGCUGGGGGUGGACAACAUCGAGACCUGCAUCCAGAAGACAUUUUGUGGCUCCAAGGAAGGACAAGGUCCUAGGCAUGAGGUUGCAGGGGAAUAAAUUCCCCCCAGCUACAUCCAAAUGGGAUGCUUGACCAGACUGUCAGCUUGCUCCCUGGUAUUACCACCCCAUACUGAAAAGCAAUCCACAUAAGGAGCUCCAGCACCAACAAAAGUCUAAAGCUUAGAUUUCUUAAAGAGGAAGAAGAGUCACAGAGAAUCCUAUAAAGGAUCCCCUCCCCCCCAGCCCCAGCCUGUGCUUAAUUAAGUGAGUGGCUUAAGGGACUUGCCUCCUCUUCAAGAUUAAGAGGUGGGUGUGAAUAUUUUCCUCUGGCCCCCUUAUAUGUUCUUGAUUACAGUAAUAAAAAUGCUAAGCUCUAUUGCCUCUCACUGGAGUAAAGGCAGCUGAAAACUCCUCAUUCCCUGAAGAACCUAAUUGUUGAUUCUAGUGCAUCUAAACAGGUGUUCUUUAGAUUGCUUUUUCUAAUGCCUUUUCACUGGAAAGAUCAAUUUAAAUGUUGCUUUGAGCUAAUCAGUGAUUGCUUCUGUAUUCAUCCAAAUUUAUAUCUUUGCUUCUGCGUGCUAGAUGAGACAUUAUUACUUUCAAAGUCUAUAAACUUAAAUAAGGGAGGUGAUUUCUAAUUUAGCUCUUUGUCCUCUUCUGUCUUCCAUAUUUUAUGCAAAAUAUGCAUGUAUUUCUUUUUGUUAUUUAAAAUCCUAGUUGAAACCUGUGUUUGAACGUCCUGAGUCAUCUUUGGAUGUCCUAUAACGCCACGUGUGGUAUGUCCUACAGAGUGGGUAUUCAAUAAAUAUUUGUGGAAAAGAAAAAUUUAUGCCCUAACCUGGAUUGCAAGCACAUUGGAUUUGUGGUCCCUAGGUGUCUGAGUUCAGGAAUUCUUUCAAUAUUGUCUGAACUUUCUUGUGUCUGCAUCUGUGUUUAUUCUGCUCUCUCUGCCUAGAAUUUCCCCAGUCCCGUCUCUCAGAAAGCUCACGUUCACGCAAGGUUCUCAUCAAAUGCCAGCUGCUCCACGAAACCAGGCUACAGUCUCCAACCAGCUCUCCUGGAGUCAGUAUCCGAACAAGGGAUCUGGAGAGGGUUGCAUCUGAUUUUCCAAACCCCACGGUACUCUGCACCUCUCUGAUUUAUCUUGUCUGUGGGUAUUUGCGCCUGGCCUUUUUUCACCCAUGGUGAGCAUGUGAAACUUCAGGCGACACAGAGGGUGUACUCUGCUGAACCACAGGUAUAGACUAAAAAAUAGUUGUUGCUUAAUGAAUUGUAGGUGUAUAGUUUUGAAGAAUGACAUUUUAUUUCUUUUUUUUUUUUGUAAGUUUUAUUUAUUUUUGGGAGAGAGGGAGGGGGAGGAUAAAAGAGACAGGAAGACACAGAAUCUGAAGCAGGCUCUAGGCUCUGAGCUGUCAGCAAAUAGUCUGACACGGGACUUGAACCCAUGAAACAUGAGAUCAUGGCCUGAGCCGAAGGCCGAUGCUUAACCGACUGAGCCACCCAGGCGCCCCAAGAAUGACGUUUUAAAGUAAAGUGUACCCGGAUGGAGAAAUGAUGGAUGUGGCUCUUCAAUCAAGUCCUCAGAACACAAUCCUUUAGAACUUGCAGGCCAUCUAUCAGCACUCUCUCUUUCACACGCAAAGAACCCCUGGUUCCGAGAGUCCUGGGUCUUCCUUAAGGUCACCUGGCGGGGAAAGACCAGAAUUCAGCCAGCAGAUCUUCUGUAGUGCUCUUCCAGACAUACCUUCAGGCAUAAUUUAACAUGUAUCAGUUUAUCCUUGAGUGUAAAGUACACUUCAUGAUUGGUGACCGGCUAACUAUUCAUAGUUCCUCACUCCCUCCCUUUUAGUGCCUGUUUCUAAGCAGCAAAGUUGUGGUUCAGUGACUUCUGUCUGGAUAAUAUGAAAACAGGGCACCCGGCCAAUUUUGAUGAGCUAACUAUUUCCCUAAAUUAUCAUGCCUAAGCAAAAGGCCCCAAACCUGCUGUUCAACACUUAUCAUUGGAUCUGGGGGAUGGGCUCUACACACGCAUAUCAUCAAAUAACUGGAAUUUUACAUUUGCGAUUGUCAAGCAGUGAAAAUUGUCAUCCUUAGAAAUGACUGACAGUUCCCCUGCCUCAUUUCUGCUACACUGAGUUAGGUAAAGAAAAAAAAAAUCACCUUCACUCUUUUUACAGAUUUCUUGCUGAAGACCCAUGUGACAGGACUAUAAAUUUUCACCAGAAAUUGAUGGGAGAACGGACACUUCAAAGUGCCUGAAAGACUUUGCAAAAGGUCCCAAUUAGCAGAAUGCAGCUAACACCUUAAAAAAAGAAAAUAGAAUAAAUGUUGCAGUGGGAAUGAAUCUUGCCUGGAGUGCUGGGUUGUUGGCUGAUUGCCUGGCGAGAGUGGUGGCCAGGACUUGCCAGCUGGCUGAUCCACACGCCUAUAAAGGAUGCGGUCAGCUUACACCUUGGCAAGCUACGAUUUUGAUGGAAAUCUUAGAGGUCGGCAGGCGUUCUCCCUAGUAAAGUACGUUAGAUCAGGUCAUUGCUUUUAUUUGAGUGAAGAAAAUAUCCUGAUGGCCAGGAUUAGGAGCACCAAGUCAGUACUUUGCUCCAAAGGAGAAUUCAUUACUGCAUCAGAAGGGAUAUAUGCCCUAAAGGAGACAGAGGGUGUAAUUGAAGGUGGCACAUUCAUCUAAUCCCCACGUUAAACCAGUCAUGCCACCGAAGCAAACCAACUGGCUUGCCAACAACCACACAUCUUCCCACAAGUUCCACUCAACAACCAGUUUUUCAAACUCUGAACUCCAAAGCUACUGCUUUCCUAUCCUCUUAUGUUUACUCAUAUUUACCUGUGGGUAGUUGUUUCACUAGUUUGUUUUGCAUAGAUCUGACUUCGAGGAUCAGAUGUAAACAUUCUAGUAGCCCCACAAUGGCUAGCUUAGUGCUUUUCAUCUUGAGGCACUCCAUGAAUGACAAAGCUGCAAAGGAGCUUCCAUAGUCCACAGUCCAUCCUGAAAAUUUAAAAACCAGUUUUAAAAAACUGACAACCUCUCUAUCAGUCUCCCAAAUGGAUUUAUUUUUUUUGAAAUUUAUUAAAAACUGAUUUUAGGGCACCUGGGUGGCUCAGUCAGUUAAGCAUCCGACUUCGGCUCAGGUCAUGAUCUCACAGUUCGUGGGUUCGAGUUCAGCAUCAGGCUGUGUGCUGACAGCUCAGAGCCUGAAGCCUGCUUUGGAUUCUGUGUCUCCCUCUCUCUCUGACCCUCCCCCGCUCAUACUCUCUCUUGCUUUCUCAAAAAUAAAUAAAACAUUUAAAAAUAAAUAAAAAUAACAACUGAUUUUAAUAUUUAUUUUUUAAAAAACAAGCACGUAAAAAUAGCCAGGAAAAAAUACAGUGAACAAAUUCAAAAGUCAAAUACAGACUGUGAAAAUCAUUUGCAAGACUGUAGAUGUAAAUAACAAAGGGUCUAUAUCCUUACUAAAGAAGAGUGGACAAAGAACUUAAUCUGGAAAUUUACAAAAUGUGAAAUGACUAUUUAACAUAUUUUCAAACUGAGCAGUAAUGAAUACAAAUGGAACCAGAUACCUCUUUUCAUUUAUCAUAUAAAGAAAAACCCAAGUUGUCCUGGAUAUGGGUUAUUUGACGCUUUCAUACACUGACCAUGCCAAUGCAAAAUAAAACCAGCUUUCCGGAGGGCAAAUUGUCAAUUACUGUCAAUACAUAUUCAAUGUAUAUUCGAAGGUUUAACUGUAUGACCUGCAGAAAUUCAUCCCAAUUGAAUGAGUAGAUCCCAGACAAAUAUUUAAAGAUCUGUGUACAAGCAAACCAGAAGACCCUAAUUGUUGAACAGAAGACUAAUCAAAUGAGGAAAACUCCAUCCAUUCCUUCAUGUAGCCAUUAAACUGAUAAAAUUGAUAUCUAUUAAUUUGAAGAGAAAGAUGUUUACAACAUAAUUAAGAAAAAAAACAAGCCACAGAAAAGUAUGAUCAAGUUUUUGAAAAACAUAUUUAUACAU